rnacentral:RNase_P_RNA from 1 species
UCAGACGGUUGGAUGGCUGCGGGCCGCGCUUGGGAAACCAUGCGGCCUGAGGAAAGUCCGGGCUCCACGAAAACACGGUGCCGGAUAACCUCCGGCGGGGGAAACCCUAGGGAAAGUGCCACAGAAAGCAAACCGCCGGGCAAUUCCGGGCGUCUUCGGGCGUUUGGAAAACGUCCGGUAAGGGUGAAAGGGUGCGGUAAGAGCGCACCGCCGCCCCGGCGACGGGGCGGGCACGGUAAACCCCACCGGGAGCAAGACCGAGUAGGGACGGCCGUUCCAAUCCGCCUCGUGCGGUGAGGGACAGGCGGGUUUUCGCGCUGUCGUCCGGGUGGGUUGCGUGAGGCGCGUGGCGACACGGGCCCCAGAUGAAUAGCCAUCUAUCGUUCCGCGCGGGGAAAUCCGCAAAGAACGGGGACAGAACCCGGCUUACAGACCGUCUGACCCA